rnacentral:rRNA from 1 species
GACGUAGGGGGCAAGCGUUGUUCGGAAUUAUUGGGCGUAAAGAGCUCGUAGGCGGUUCGUCGCGUCGGCUGUGAAAACCCGGAGCUCAACUCCGGGCCUGCAGUCGAUACGGGCGGACUGGAGUUCGGCAGGGGAGACUGGAAUUCCUGGUGUAGCGGUGAAAUGCGCAGAUAUCAGGAGGAACACCGGUGGCGAAGGCGGGUCUCUGGGCCGAUACUGACGCUGAGGAGCGAAAGCGUGGGGAGCGAACAGG